rnacentral:rRNA from 1 species
CAAGUGCGUGGGAACAGGCCGGGGGAGUGGGUAGGGGGGGAGGGUGGUCCGGUUGCAGUGUGCGGAAAGUGCGCGUAGGGGGUGUGGCAAGGCUGGUGGGAGAUCUCCGGGGUCAACUCGGAGAGGCCACUCGAUGCUGCUAUGACUAGAGUCCGGUAGGGGACUAUGGAAUUCCUGGUGUAGCGGUGAAAUGCGCAGAUAUCAGGAGGAACACCGGUGGCGAAGGCGGUAGUCUGGGCCGGUACUGACGCUGAGGAGCGAAAGCGUGGGGAGCGAACAGGAUUAGAUACCCGAGUAGUC